AGAACGAACGCUGGCGGCAUGCCUAACACAUGCAAGUCGAACGCUCACCGGGCUUCGGUUCGGUGGGAGUGGCGCACGGGUGAGUAGCGCGUGGGAACCUGCCCUGUUGUGGGGGAUAACCGAGGGAAACUUCGGCUAAUACCGCAUGCGCCCGGGGAAACCCGGGGAAAGAUUUAUCGCAGCAGGAGGGGCCCGCGUCGGAUUAGGUAGUUGGUAGGGUAACGGCCUACCAAGCCUUUGAUCCGUAGCUGGUCUGAGAGGAUGAUCAGCCACACUGGGACUGAGACACGGCCCAGACUCCUACGGGAGGCAGCAGUGGGGAAUAUUGGACAAUGGGCGCAAGCCUGAUCCAGCAAUGCCGCGUGAGUGAUGAAGGCCUUAGGGUUGUAAAGCUCUUUUGUGCGGGAAGAUAAUGACGGUACCGCAAGAAUAAGCCCGGCUAACUUCGCGCCAGCAGCCGC
rnacentral:rRNA from 1 species